UCGAGGGCACGUUUGCCUGGGCAUCACAUG
rnacentral:rRNA from 1 species